GUGCCCGCUUCGGCAGCACAUAUACUAAAAUUGGAACGAUGCAGAGAAGAUUAGCAUGGCCCCUGCGCAUAGAAAGUUAUCAAUUAAAAACACUCAGUGUUG